GUUUGUACAUUCCUACAAUCACACCAUGAGUUGUUGAUCAUGAAACAUACUCCUCCGCCUUUGUUUUUCUCAUAAAGCAAAUUGUUUCUGUCUGUGCGGUGUAUAGAAAUCCCCACAGGCUGUAUAGUCGUAUCAAGCACCUCCCCCAUUAGCCAAGUAAAACAGAUUACGUUACAAUCUGUCGUAUCUCGAGUAGGAAAUCUGUGCUUUUAGCUUGCUUAGUUUAUUAUUCACAGACUGUACAUUAGCAAGUAAUAUACUAGGAAGCAGAGGGUGGUUUACCCUUCUCCUUAGUCUGACUAGAACGUCAACUCUCCUAACCAUUCUACAGCGGAACCUUUUUGGGAGGGUUCCCGUGAUGAUUGGAACUGCUUCGGAUAAUCCAGACAAAGGAUCCGACUACAUUUCUAAUUGGGACUGAAGAACCCAAGUACAAGCAGUCUCAGUUUAGAUGUAAGACUUAAAGCGCUAGUGUAGCCUGAACCAUACACCAAGCAUUCUCAGAAGAAUACUUUAUUUUUGGCUGGAGUUUAGGCGGCGCUAGUGUCAAACGCACAGUCUUUGGCAAUUCCAACUUGUAAAAGCCAGUGUUCUGCUAUUUUCCAACCCUGGUGUCAGGGUUGGUAAUUGACCUGUGUCAUGACUCUCCUGUGAGGGUCCAAGAGAUUAGGUUACAGUGGAUCAGCUCUACAGAUCCUUCUCUCUCCCGCAGUGGGGGAGAGGGAUGGAGGUGGGGAUUAUAUGACACCUCACACCCAUCGUAAAUUGUAAGGCAGCAGAUGAUUCCUCUCUGCUCUAGUAUGGGGACUGGAAUGUCUUUUUCUGCCUUAUGAGAGUAUACCUCAAAACUACAACAUCAAAUAAAUUGACUUUGGGACAAUACAUUUCAUCCUCCAAAUGCUGGUAAGGAUAAGAGAUGGAAUGUGGAAGAUCAAUGUCUAUUUUUGUGAUGUAAGUAAAAGUUCAAUGAAGACGUUAUGAUGAAAACAUUGUAACUUGAAGAGUUUUCAUGUGUAUAUGAUGUUUACAUACUUUACGUUGUGUAGAAAAUAUCCAGAUUAAAGAGAGUGUUUUUGUGACGAUGAGACUGUGAUUUUGGUUAUUUAAAUGAGAUCAUGGUAGAUUGUGAUACCUUGCCUUGUAACUAGCUAUGCCCCGGGGAACCCAGAGCAAGAUGAAAAUGGACCCUUUCUACCCGAGGGUAUAAAGCACGAGUUAAGAAUUAACAUAUUGGAAUAAGAUGACCACUCGUUGCAGCCGAGGUAUACAAUUAUAACGCAACACGAGGUUGAAGAAGACAAAGAAAACCUCUUAUCAAUGCUAUGGUGGAGUAGCUAAGAAGGGGAAUUUAAGCAGGACCAUCCGGUGAUUCUCUUCAAACAAUCGGUUGUCUACACGGCUUUCCGACCCACGCUGGGAGCAUUGACACGGCUGAUUAUCUGUCCUCAGAAGACCACUCUUACAGAACGAGUGCAAGGAAACAGACAACUAAGUGAAGGGACAUUGUGACAUCUUGUGGACAAUCAGAGUCUUGCACCUGAGGACGAAAGACCAGGCCAUCCAAAGUGGGCCCAACAGUGAUAUCCAACAGAUACCCAACGGAGACCGUCAACACGUAAAUGCAUGCAUUACACUUCUUACCCUUAAGAGCGGCAGUUCGGGGCAAGGUAUUAAGGCUAAACUAAGCGUAGUUUACAAAUGUAUCCAAGUGUUGUUUUUCUCUCUUGCUCUCUCCAUAUUUAAAUCUCCAUCUUGUGCAAUGUGUCAUAUUGUGUCGGUCCUCUAGGGACCUGUUGUCAUUGUAUUCAGUUCUAAUCAAUAACCUAGACUGUGUGUGUGUGUGUGUGUGUGUGUGCGUGUCUUAUGUUAUCAUUUAGCUUGUUUGUAAAAAGUGAUCAACUCAAUUUGUGUGGUACGGACUGAUUUGUGAGACCUGGGUUUGUGCAGAUUUAGAGAGUCUACGACAUUCAGAAUGAGACUGAUUUUGACUGUUAUGAUAUUCUUAUAUAUUUUUGAGUUAAUUUGGGAAAUGGUAACUCAUUAAACAAACUUUUCCUGAGGUGCCUCAAGUUACUAAUGAGUUAAUUGUUACAUGAUUCAUUUAAUCAUGUAAUAAUUCAACAUGGUUAAUUAUUCAAUAAAUAGCAUGUCAUCACAUGAAUAAUAGUCACAUCACGACACCCGUCUAAUAUCAACUCACUUGCGCUGAGGUGGGAGGGGUAAAAUAUUUUCGGUGUGGCCUCAAAAACAUACUCCAAUACCUACUGGUGAUAUUUAAGACUCACCAAAAGCCGGGUUUAGCGGUAAUGCAAUUGGUUAUGGCAUGGAGUUUGCCAAGCGGAGGCACACAGUAGCCUAAUCAGUAGGCUGUAACCAAUGUUUAAAGAAUUAUCUUGAGCAGCAAAGAAGUCAAUUUAUAUUAGACAUAAUUUUUGACCAUGCAGCAUAUGUGAAAAAAUUUGGGCCUAUGUGCGACGCAUAUUUAAUGAAAGGUGUCCGUGAAUUUGAAGUAUCUGUUUAGGAACAUCAAGUCAUUACAAUAGACUGCUUAUUGUUUUUCCGGUAACAGUUUAUUUGACUAGUCUGCAAAGCAUCUACAGUUUAUCAGUAACAUUUCAACUAACUAUCUACUCACCCUAGCUCUAGCCCUAACCUUAACCCUUAUCCUAACCCUACAUUUAACCCUUACACUUACCCUAGCCCUAACCUUAACCCUUACCCUAACCCUUAUUCUAAACCUAACCUCAGCGAGCAGUUGCUUAUCAACAGAUAGUUUGUUGAUAGUAUGACCAACUGUGGAGCAUCUACAGAGGGAAAAUCCGGACUACCCAAAUAAAUUGACUGUUUUUCUUUUAUCAUUUUGUAAAAAGAAAUUGUCAUUGUCAUUGUGGGAAUUCCGAUCUCUAUCCUUGGUGCUGAAUCUGCUUGCAGCCCAGGCUAUUUGUCUGCUUGUUUGUUUACCUUUCACUUGGCAAAGUCACGAACAGGCCAUAUCAACGGCGAUGGUAGGCUAAUCUUAUUAACGUUUGGGCAAUGUCCAAUUGCCCAUGGCUCGAACGUGCAGUGCACUUUCGAAAUGUGAAUGCAAUGUGUGUAGACUAAUAUUUCCAUUUUGAAGCAAAUAAAACAGCUUGAUUGGCUACAUGUUGUUAUAACUAGGCCUAUUGUAGGCCUAUUGUAUUGUGUGUGUCUGCUCGGCCAUGGAAAUCCAUUUCAUGACUGUGAAGAUUGCAUGACUGUGUAUACACCUGUCAGCAAAGGGUGUGGCUGAUAUAGCCAAAUCGACAAAUUUGAAGGGGUAUCCACAUACUUUUGUGUAUCUUCAAUGGAUAGGACAAACAUCCAUGCCUCCUGCCGAAGAGCCCUUAGGCCUACAUGUGCACACAUUGCCUUAUGCUCAUGGAAUGAGAGAUAUGAUUUAUAUCAUUCUGACCCCAUCCAACUUAGAAAUAUUGUUCUUAUUUUUAAAAAAAUAGAUUGAUGGUUUUUAAUUUAAUUAGAUUAAAAAACAAACUUAUAAGAAAUAUUUGCCGUCCAUUGGUUUAUGUUGAGAACAUACAUGACUCGAAUGUAAUGCAAUUUCGGCUGUUAUUUCUGGAGAAGUGUAAAUAUAAUCUGCACUAUAACGGUGAAUGGACAUUCCCCCUUUUUAUAUUGUAUCUUUGUCCAGCUCCUGUGAAAAGUUUGGAUGUGCGUAUAACCCUGUUAGAGGAAAUUAUAGUUUAGAUGAUUAAUUAUGUAUACAUUAUUGAUUAGAACCAUUUAUUCUAAUACUAUUAUGUUAUGGUAUGAAAAGUAAAAGUUAUUGGUUAAGCUGUUACUGAAAAUGUAAGCAGAAUGAAUUAAUUGUCUGGGCCUCUUGGGAAGUUAACGGGGGAGCAGGCUAUAGCUUGUCCGACAGAUAAGAAAUGUCUGGGAGACGUUCCAGGCCUGAUGAACAAUGGGCUCUUGUGAGAAUCGGAGAGAGGGGGGAUAAACUGAUGAUGUCAUGUUCAGUUUAUAACCUGUGGAAAAAUGUGUAUGCUUCAGUACUCUCUGGAAUUAAACACUCUUUACCUGGCUUUUAAGACUGGUCUCGAUCUACUUCAUGCAUAAUUAAUGAACUUACAAUUCAUUAAUGAAUUAGAAAUUAGUGCUAAUUGAUUUUGGCAAUUAAAGCAUAAAGGAAUUUAGAAUUCCUCUAUCAAUUUGGUCCUUCGAUGUGCCGGAUCUAAAAAUCUCUCACUUUGCCUUGGGGUAGUACGCUGGAAAAUCGUGCACGGACGAGUUUUGACUCGUUUUACUAAAGACCUGACCUCUGAAUUGAGGUUAAAAUUGAAACAGGCCUGCGUAUUAUCACAGAGGACAGAGAGGGUGACUAGAUUCAAACGAACAAUGUUUUCCCAGCCGGCAGCAGGUAAAGUAGCCUUUAUUCUCGAUUCUGGGGGGAUUUGAGCUCUUUAAUUGAUGUUCUGAAAUUUUCAGAAAUCAUCAAUAAUGGGGGCCUUGACCAUCAUACACUGGGUUUUGUAUAACCGAUAUACACGGAAGCAGGUUCGAAAAUAACCUGUGGUAAUGUGCACUACCAUAAAUAAACUAAAACUUAGUCAUGAGUGGCACACCAGCCCGAGAUUAAGAAGGGAUAUUAAAUAGGUACUGGGAGAUAGGACGGUGAUUUUGUACAAAUACUGGGCGUAGAGAGACGGCAAGCGCAAGAUAACUGGAUUGGUCAUGUGAAUAGUGGCAGUAUUGAUCACCGUCCCGAUUCAACUAAUACUACGGAAAUAUCCAAAUAAGGAGGAGAGGGAAUUAAAAAUCUAAAGAAAUGAGAUAAAAGCCAUUCUUUAGACAUGACAGUUCCAUGCGAGAGGGAAGUUUAACAAAUAGUGGCGUGAGAUAACGAUUAUUAGCGUUCUUUAAAAGCCCUCUGACACAACCGGAAAAUACUAGGACUUUACAAACCCUGGGCUUAUGGUUGUAAGGUUAGACCUAAUGUUUGUUUCAAAAGUCAAAGCUAUUGGUAAGGUUUCCAUAAAAGAGCUAAACUUAAAUCAUGAUUAGCGUUCUUUAAAAGCCCUCUGACACAACCGGAAAAUACUAGGGCUUUACAAACCCUGGGCUUAUGGUUGUAAGGUUAGACCUAAUGUUUGUUUCAAAAGUCAAAGCUAUUGGUAAGAUUUCCAAUAAAAGAGAUAUUAACCAUAAGGUGUUAAAUAUUGGAAUUACUAGGCGUAAGUAAAUAAGGAUUCCAAUAAAGAGAAAUUAACAUAAAGGGUUGAAGAUUGGAAUUAUUAGGAGGGGCAGGAAUUUAUUAUAAUGGGUAGUAACCCUCUUAAACUGCUUUCUGCAGAGACGGAAGAUUACCGUUAUAUGAAACAAAAAGAUAGAAGGAAUGUAGAUUUCUGUCCUAAAUGGGAAAAAAGGUAUGGUUUUGACGGACGCCUAGAUGUCGAAAAGUUAGAAUCCCUUCUAAAACAGAUACAAAGGGAGCGAGAUUAAUGAGAAUCCUAAACUGAGGGAAAACGUUUGGGCGUUUAAAUUGGGGCUAUUUUCUGUUGUCUAGAUGUCGGAGUAACAAAUACAGAUAACUGUGAAAAUGGGUAUAUUUGCGGAGAGUCUCGGUCAAAUUCAGAGCGCUGGUGGUACAGUGGCGAGCGCAACAGUCUCACCAACGGUAAUCCGCGGUUCGGUUCCCGGCCGAGGUAUUUAACUAAAAUUGAUUUUAGAUCGUAAUUGACCUAUUUGCAUGUUUUGCCUGAAAAAUACGGUCGCCAGUGUUUGCAAAAGAUAUAACUGAACGGAUAUUUUGUGUUCUAGAUAGAAUUGAUAAAAGAAGUCAUUAAAAAUAACGGCGAGACAAUUUCGAUGUAAAACGCUAUUUCGCCCAAAAUGAUCUGGUGGAAUAAUGUAUUGAGGUGGGAGUCGUAAUUAAAUAGAUGUAUCAUAGAAGAGAGUUACCUAAAGUUAAAUGGAGGGGAUAACGGAGAGAUACAAUACAAUUCCAGCCUGCCUGGACGUUAUGGCUAUUUAUGAAUCAAUUGACAUGAGAAGUUAAACACAAAAACAUGGUACGUUUAAUGUUAGAGUAUAGUAAAUUGAGAAGUUCGGUUGGGUUUACUCUGAUGAUUAGAAUUUAAAACUGAACUCAAUCUGAAUAGGGAAUAUAUAUUUUACAAAGGCGGGCAGAUUUGUGUCUAUAGCCAAGCAACGGAAUUGCUAGACACUCAAAUGGGGCUAUAUAGUGCAACGCUUUGGACUAUAGAUUAGGUAAGAAUAGUUUAAUCGUAAGAAGUUGUGAUUGUUUUUCUGAUUACUGAUUUUUGGUUAACCAGUUAACCAGUGAAUUUGAACAAAAAGUAACGUAUUCUAAAAAAGAUCUGAUUUCCGUUCUCGUUGCGGGGAACAAAUGAAAAGUCUUAUCUUAAAGGUACAGUGCACGGUAAUCACAGUGGUUUGAGUGUACGACAGUGGAAAAAAUAUUGUGGGACGACAAUUCGAAGAGAAAAAUAAGUUACAUGAUACAUCAAGAGAUUUAAAACGAAUGACGUGAAGGGAUCAUAAGAAUUAUUGGGUGUCAUUGUAGGAGUAAAUAUUUGGGUUAAGGGGAUUUCCCUGUUCCCAGAGACAAGGCAUUUUUAAGGCGAGCACUCACUAAUGCUGGUCUGAGUUUGUAAUUAGACAAUAAAUUAGUGAAUAACGUAUUGGAAAUAGAGUUGUAAUUAAAAUACUAAGUCAAAGACGAGACAGGUAUUUAGAGCAAAAUGGAUUCUAAAUGAUAACAAAGAGACAAUUAUGAUUUAUGCCCAUCGAAAAGCUUUUAUAAAAUUGGCGAAUUUAGAGAUGUUGGUUGGGGUGGUAAAUUAUAAUUCAGGAUUAGAACAGAUGUGAUAAAUUAGGUUUGGUUAAUCGAACAAGAAUUAUUUACAAUCCAUUUGAAGUCGCUACGAAUUGUCAGGUUGAGCGCUUUGUUUAUUUGUUUAUUGGUUAUAGUCAAUUUUAGGGUUUGAUUUAACUUAGUUGAACAGUGUGUUCUGGCGGGUUUUAGAUAGAACUCUUUGUUCCGGAACGGAUGAGAGUUAACCAAGAUAAGUAAAUUAAAGGAGCCAUGAGAGAAUGCGAAUGCAUAUUUAUUAAAUAUCGGGGAUUAAAUGACGGAUUCCUUACACUGUGAAAUGUAUGACAUUUGCGGCAGAGAGAAAAAGUAAUGCAUUGGAUAAUAAUGUUAUCGGGUUAAUUGUAUCUAAAGGUAGCAUGGUCAUUUAAGUAAACAUAUCCGUAGACGAUGUUUAAAACUUAUGAUUAAUGAUUUGAGUCAAAGGGGAAUUAUCAUUAGGUUUUAGUUAUAGUUCACUUAUUGAGUUUCUGAUUCGAGGUAGCAUUAGUGAAUGAUAGUUAGGGAUGUGGUGUCUCACUUUUAGAGGCCUCCUGGGAUUAUAAUUUUGGGGGAGAGAGCAGCUUUAAACGACCAAAUUGAAAAAGGUCUGCAAAUUAUAUAUAUAUAAAACAACUGUUAGAACGAUUUGUUUUAGUGCAAGGAGAUUUUAAAGAGGCACGCUCACAUAUGGAACCUUAUGAGAUGUUUUUUUUAUGGGUUUGAAUUAUACAGGUGACUAUUUCUAUUGUAAGGAUAAAAGGGAUCUUUAUGUCUAAUAUGGUAUGACCCUUUGACCUUGUCAUGACUGGCUUCUGAGGUCUGAUCAGCCUCAGGGGAGAGUCAUUUGUAUAAUGAAUGGUGUCAUAUUGAGUUACUAGUUUUAAGGUAAAUUCAUUAGAAAUGAAGCAGUUUUGGUUUAGGGUUUAGAAUUACUGUUUGAACCGCAAAUGAGAAAGUGGUUCAGGAUUCUGUCUUAUAACAUUAGCUGUGAAGUUUUUUGAAUGGGCUAUUAGGGAGUUGGUAUUGUAACAGAGAGAAAGUCAUAUUCAUCAUUGAGAAUAAAUAGGUGAAGAUAACAUAUUUUGAGCCAACAGGGCAGGGAAGAAAUUGAGGUAUUUUUAUUUGAUUUUAACACCCGUGUACAAGAGUGUCAAAAGACGGGGGACAUUACCUGUGUAAUGGGGAGGGUGUCCGUAUGGGGAUUACAUGAUAACCAACUUGGGACAGUUCUGGGACUGGAGAAGAGGAUAUCCUUAUAGCAUAGGGAAUCCCACAAAGGUGGAUAGGUUUUCCAUGAUAUGGGGGACUUUGUAAAGGUGAUGAAAUCCUACUAACCAUCAAAACUAUUAAGCUCUCUGAUGCAGGCACUUACACCCCCGGACUACAAAGGACCGGGACAGACACGGUGGGUGUGUUUUCUAUUAAGGUACUGCCAAAACCAGAGGUCUCAGACGAACCGGGGCCGGACACACUCCUCUACCACCCCUGGACCGAACCUGCCACCACUGUGUUAAAAAUCUCAUUCAGGUAAUUAAUGUUAGACUAUUCAGCUAUUGAUCAAUUAGGCACGGAGACUGGUUUUGAUGGUAGGGACAAUUUGUGGCUGUCUUAUACAGAAUAGACUUGCUUAGAAUAUGCUUCUUGCUAGUCAGGGGGGAGUCUGCAAGAUGUUCGGUGAACAAUGUUGUACGUAUAUCCCUAAUAACACCAGUCCAGAUGGUAGUAUAUCUAAGGGCCUUAAUGGGCUUGAUGCACUAUCUGCUGAGAUGAGGACCAUGGCGGGGGUAGAGGAGUCUGACUGUCCACCUGGUUGGGAGCCUGGUUUGGUAAGUAUACUGGUAUGGUGGUUACUGGAUUUCUGACCCUAAUUCUUGUAUUAUUUGUUAUUGAUGUGAUGUGCUGCUUGCAUCAUACCGUGUUUUAAGAAGUCUGUUACAGAUGUGGUGAAGGCUUCAGGCAUGAUGCCUUUGCUUGAUGCUCCAGUUGGAGAGGCUGAGGUGAAGCAUGCUUUCAGGGGAGGAUAAGACUGACUGAGGAUGACCCAUGUAUGUUUGUUCUCCCUGUCGUGAAGGGUGGCAUGGUGCCCACCUGGUGCUGGAUAAGAAUAGCUGAGAGGACCAGAUGGGUUAUAAGAAUGCUUUGUUCUGCUUUACUCUGUUAUCCAUGACCAAAGUUUUAUUCCACACUUUGCAAACACAUAUUAAAUCCAUGUUAUUGUCAGAUAGAAUACUGAGGGUCCCAAAGGAGAGGGCUUGUUAGUGUAGGAAGGAUUUUUAAUAUGGUUAGCAUUUAUUAGAUUAUAAGUUUUUAAAUAGUAUUAUAUUUAACAGGAAUAUAGGACAUCUAUGAUGAUUUAGGAUUAUUGUUAGGAUUAAGAGAAAAAGCCUUUAGAGAAAAGCCGCUCAUAGACAUGUUCUUUCUAAAAGAAAAUCCAUGAGUUUAGAAAGACAAACAGUGAGGCAUGUAGUUCAAAUUUGGGAAUGUGAAAAACAGCCACGGGCAAGCAGAAGAGCCCUCCCCCGCACUGCAGAGACCUUGAAGGUUGGAGAGCAGAGAAGUUUUAGAAGGGGGGCCAGGACGAGCAAAGAUAACAUAGUGGGUAGAUAAGUUACUGAGUGGAGACAAAAGUGAGAAUUGGACAUGUGGAAAAUGAAAGGGACACUCCUAAAUGGAAUUUCAGACAUAAGCAUAAUUCACUAAAUCUUAUCUAAGUCAUUGUAUAAGAAUAAGGCAAGGUUGUUACCUGGGCAGAGCCAGGUAACAAAAGGGGGAUGGGUAAAUAGUGUUCUAGAAUAGGAUGUGACCUACGGGAUAAUUAACUAAUAAAACAUUUUUUUGUUAAUUGGUUUGACGAAUAAGAAACUGUUUUAUUAACCAAACCUGUAUGUCCAAGAGUUUAUGCACUACAGGUGAACUACAGGUGAAGACACUCAAUCCAGUCCCGUGGGCCACCCGGAUUCAUAUCGCACUGCGGGGGGGACUCUGGAGAGAUCAAUGACACUACAGAUGGUGCGUUAUGGGCCGAUUCCAGGUUCUGACCCAUGGAGGACUGAAGGCAUGUCUACAGAGGAAGUGGACAAAUCUGGAUCUGUCAUUUGUGGGGAAUUUAUGUUUGAUGAGAAAUGUGUUGAGAUGAAGGGGAAUUAGAUUGUAAUUUGUUUCAAUGAUUAAACUGUUUUUUUAAUAAAGAUUGUAAAAAGAAAAAAAAUCCUGAAAGAGGAGUUAUGAUUCUGAGGUAGGUUUAAAAACAGUUGGAGUUAAGGUUGGAUUUGAUUGAUGAAAUGUGAAGAGUUGGAUAAACAUUUAUAAUUGAUUUGUUGAUUAUGUGUCUAUUCAUAUGAUAAUCUGAUAAACCUCUAUAAAAAGGUUAGUUAAGUUCGUUUAUACUUUCAUUUUUUAUGAUUAAAUAAAACUAGAUGCAGAAUUGAAUGUAUAAUAUUUGAUCAAAGGGAGGAUUGUUAGAGGAAAUUAUAGUUUAGAUGAUUAAUUAUGUAUACAUUAUUGAUUAGAACCAUUUAUUCUAAUACUAUUAUGUUAUUGUAUGAAAAGUAAAAGUUAUUGGUUAAGCUGUUACUGAAAAUGUAAGCAGAAUGAAUUAAUUGUCUGGGCCUCUUGGGAAGUUAACGGGGGAGCAGGCUAUAGCUUGUCCGACAGAUAAGAAAUGUCUGGGAGACGUUCCAGGCCUGAUGAACAAUGGGCUCUUGUGAGAAUCGGAGAGAGGGGGGAUAAACUGAUGAUGUCAUGUUCAGUUUAUAACCUGUGGAAAAAUGUGUAUGCUUCAGUACUCUCUGGAAUUAAACACUCUUUACCUGGCUUUUAA